AAGCUUACCAUGCAGUCUCUUGAUCCUUCGGGUGAAGGUGGCGGACGGGUGAGUAACGCGUAAAGAACUUGCCUUACAGACUGGGACAACAUUUGGAAACGAAUGCUAAUACCGGAUAUUAUGACUGAGUCGCAUGAUUUGGUUAUGAAAGCUAUAUGCGCUGUGAGAGAGCUUUGCGUCCCAUUAGUUAGUUGGUGAGGUAACGGCUCACCAAGACGAUGAUGGGUAGCCGGCCUGAGAGGGUGAACGGCCACAAGGGGACUGAGACACGGCCCUUACUCCUACGGGAGGCAGCAGUGGGGAAUAUUGGACAAUGGACCAAAAGUCUGAUCCAGCAAUUCUGUGUGCACGAUGAAGUUUUUCGGAAUGUAAAGUGCUUUCAGUUGGGAAGAAGUCAGUGACGGUACCAACAGAAGAAGCGACGGCUAAAUACGUGCCAGCAGCCGCGGUAAUACGUAUGUCGCAAGCGUUAUCCGGAUUUAUUGGGCGUAAAGCGCGUCUAGGCGGUUUAGUAAGUCUGAUGUGAAAAUGCGGGGGCUCAACCCCGUAUUGCGUUGGAAACUGCUAAACUAGAGUACUGGAGAGGUAGGCGGAACUACAAGUGUAGAGGUGAAAUUCGUAGAUAUUUGUAGGAAUGCCGAUGGGGAAGCCAGCCUACUGGACAGAUACUGACGCUAAAGCGCGAAAGCGUGGGUAGCAAACAGGAUUAGAUACCCUGGUAGUCCACGCCGUAAACGAUGAUUACUAGGUGUUGGGGGUCGAACCUCAGCGCCCAAGCUAACGCGAUAAGUAAUCCGCCUGGGGAGUACGUACGCAAGUAUGAAACUCAAAGGAAUUGACGGGGACCCGCACAAGCGGUGGAGCAUGUGGUUUUAAUUCGACGCAACGCGAGGAACCUUACCAGCGUUUGACAUCCCAAGAAGUUAAACAGAGAUGUUUUCGUGCCUCUUUCGGAGGAACUUGGUGACAGGUGGUGCAUGGCUGUCGUCAGCUCGUGUCGUGAGAUGUUGGGUUAAGUCCCCCAACGAGCGCAACCCCUUUCGUAUGUUACCAUCAUUAAGUUGGGGACUCAUGCGAGACUGCCUGCGAUGAGCAGGAGGAAGGUGGGGAUGACGUCAAGUCAUCAUGCCCCUUAUACGCUGGGCUACACACGUGCUACAAUGGGUAGUACAGAGAGCUGCAAACCUGCGAGGGUAAGCUAAUCUCAUAAAACUAUUCUUAGUUCGGAUUGUACUCUGCAACUCGAGUACAUGAAGUUGGAAUCGCUAGUAAUCGCAAAUCAGCUAUGUUGCGGUGAAUACGUUCUCGGGUCUUGUACACACCGCCCGUCACACCACGAGAGUUGGUUGCACCUGAAGUAAACAGGCCUAACCGUAAGGAAGGGAUGU
rnacentral:rRNA from 1 species